AUUAAUUAAAGACAAAUUAAAUAAUUACGUUCAGAUUAUUCGGAAAUUUAAAAAAAAAAAAAUCAGUUACUAAUAACCAAGAAAGUUAUAAGAAAAUAAGAAUAAGAAUACAGUCAAAUGCGUGUAUUAUGAUAUAUGAAUUAAAUAUAUAGGUAUUUUAUUUAAAAACUAAUGCAAAAACGGACCAAUUCAGUUUUAGAAAAAUUGAAUCGUAUAAAAAGCAAGCACUGGAAAGAGAAGAAAUU